rnacentral:rRNA from 1 species
ACGUAGGGGGCGAGCGUUGUCCGGAAUUACUGGGCGUAAAGGGAGCGUAGGCGGUCGAUUAAGUUAGAUGUGAAACCCCCGGGCUUAACUUGGGGACUGCAUCUAAUACUGGUUGACUUAGAGUACAGGAGAGGGAAGCGGAAUUCCUAGUGUAGCGGUGAAAUGCGUAGAUAUUAGGAGGAACACCAGUGGCGAAGGCGGCUUUCUGGACUGACACUGACGCUGAGGCUCGAAAGCGUGGGGAGCAAACAG